GCGCUCGCGUGGCCGGCUUGAGCAGCGCGCGGGCUACCUGGCCACCGCUGGCUCGCGUGGCUAUGCUCGAGUAGCACGCGGGCCCGCCUAGCCGCCGCGCACGCUAGCUGCUGAGAGAGCAGGGGUGACUCGCGUGGCUGUGUUGGAGCAGCACGCUAGCUGCUAGGGGAGCAGGCCCGCCUAGCAACUGCGUGCAUGUCCCGCGCCGAUUCCCGCAUUGAAUCCCCAGCUACAUAAGAUUUAGCUAAACACGAGGGAUGGGGACGCCAAGCAAGAACCUAGACGGUUCUUGGCUUCCUGCAGGGACGAUUGAGGGCUUAUUGUUCAAGGAAGGAAAAAGAAGGGUGCAGGUGGAGGUUGCAUGCUUCUACAAUUAAGGGUGAAAAAACCGUAAAGGUGAAGAAGAAUCCACGGCAACAUACAUGUUCUAGUACAUGAAGAAGCAAGGUUGUAAAGAAUGCAAUAAAAUUUUGGAUCCGUGAACAAGUGAAGGAUUAGCUAAUGGAGGAUUCAAUUUGAAAGCUAAAGAAUUACAAAGGAGAAUAAAGGAUAAGCACAAGAUAGAGGUUUCCCACAAGAGAGUGUAUGCAGGUAAAGAAUUAGCACAUACACAAUUAAGGCUGAGAUGGAGAGGUGCUGUUCUCAAAAUUUUGUUGUCAUUGAUCAUCAUAAAGUUGAUGGGAAAAUAAGAUUUAAUAGGCUGUUUUUUCUAUGAAACCAUGCAUAGAAGGCUUUCUAAAAGGAUGCAGGCCUUAUUUGGCAAUAGAUAGCAUAUUUUUGACAGGAAGGUAGGGGGCAGCUGGCAUGUGCAGUAGCUGUAGAUGGACACAACUGGAUGUAUCCAGUUGUUGUUGGAGUGAUGGACUCGGAAACAAAUGAAAAUUGGAUCUAAUUUAUGCAAAAUCUUAGAGAUGCUGUUGGAUCACCUGAAGGCUUAGCUAUAUGUACAGAUGCUGGACAAGGAGUGAUGACGGGAGCUAAGGAAGUGUUCCCAGUUGCAGAAUAUAGGGAAUGCAUGCUACAUUUGGUGAUAAACUUCACGAAAAGAUAUACAUGAAAGAUAUUUGAGGACCAUCUUUGGGCAGCAACAUAUUCGUGGGCUCCAUACUUCUUUGAGAAGCAUUGGAAUGCAAUGGAUGAAGAAAAUCCAGAAGCAAUGAAUUAUAUAAGACAAUGUCAUACUAAGGUAUGGGUAAGAAGUCAAUUUUGGACCCGUUGCAAGGUUGACUAUGUCACAAACAACUUGGCAGAGUGCUACAACAAUUGGGUAAAGAAGUACAAGGGUUUGAAUUUGGAUGACUUUAUAGACAUGAUUAGAUAACUUAUUAUGAAUAAGUGGGAUAUUAGAACGGAUGUCUCGGCAAAGAUUGAAGGGGUCAUUUUGCCACACAUCAUGAAGGAGUUGAGGGAGCAAAGCAGGAAUUUGGAUAUGGAUGUCCAUAGAAGCUACAAAUGUGUUGUCAAUCUAGAAGAAAGAACUUGUUGUGCAAGAAAUGGAAAGUAUCAGGGAUUCCAUGCAAACAUGCCAUUGCAUUCAUCACAUAUCUUAGGGAACCUCUAGAAAAAUAUGUUGAAAACUAUUAUUCAGUCGAUAAAUUCAGAGCUGCUUAUGAGUCUCUUAUUCCUGUGAUGCCUAACAAAGCACAAUGGCCACAAUCUGGUCAUAGUCUUUUUAUGCAUCCACCACUCAUAAAAUCUACAGCGGGUAGAAGACAGAACCAGAGGUUUAAAGGUUGUACGGAAGGCAGCACAACAAGAAAGAAAAGGUCACAUCAGUGCAAAGUUUGCAAGAAAUUUGACCAUCGCUGGUAUAAGUGCAAGGAAGGUGACCCUGAGGACAUAGCAACUAUGCUAGCUGAAAAAAAAGAAAGAAAAUCAUUGAUCCAUCUUGUGAGAGUAGCAUUGUACCUGUUGGUCUAACACCUAAGACAAUGAAUUUUCCUCCUAGGUAUGUAUCUGUACAUUUAUAUUCUAGUUUUUUUUCAAAGGCAUAUGGCAUUUCAUUCAUUUCUAAUAUUAUAUUUGUAUUACAGCCAAAGUACUUCGGUUAGUUUAGGAUCUAGAAACUCUCUCAGGUAUAUGUCAUAUUCACUGCUUACGCAUAUUAUCAUGCUUGGUAAAUUUUUUAUACGUAUAGAACUCAUGUGCAAGUCCGGAAGUGGCUCAAACCAACUUGAGCUACUUCUUGCACAUGAGACAACACCACCACCUGCCACCUCCAAGCUCAGGGAGAAGAAAGCUAAAGGGAAGGCAGCAGAGAAGAAAAAUGAAAAAGAAGUUUCAGUGCCACAUGAUAGUCCUGCAAUGAGUACUGGAAGCAAAACUCCUCAACAAGACAGCCCUACCUCUCAUAGCAGAAGCAACACUUACUGAUUUGAACUAGUGUUGAUGCUGUUUCUUUUGCGUGUCAUUUCCUAUGUUGGUUGGUCUUUGUGACACCAAAUCUAGUGUUAUUUUGCUAAGCUUAUUUCAACUAGUAGUUGUUGUUACUCUACCUGUAUAGCUGCUUGUAUGGAAGCAAUGGCUGAUUGCAAGGAUGCUUGUAUGGACAUCAAUGAUUACUUGUAUGACUGCUAUGUAUGUACAACAAUGAUGCUUGUAUGGACAUCAAUGACUACUUGUAUAGCUGCAUAUAUGGACAACAAUGAUGCUAUAUAGACAUCAAUAGACAUCAGUGGUUGUUUGA